UAGUCACUGCGAUGUUGGCUCGGUUCACUCAGACAAUAAUCAAGCUCUACGCUUUAGAUAUAACUCUGCGUAGCUUACUGUGCUUUGAUUGAGCCGUGCCAAUAUCCUAGUGCCGUUU
rfam:Gossypium raimondii Chr09_contig_236, whole genome shotgun sequence.